GAAGAGGGAAGGAGAGGAGCCAGGGGCUGUAACACUUGAAAUCCUUGAUUUCAGGGCCCUCGUCUGCUCCUGCACCAAAUCCAGGCCAGAUGCACUUCCUGGACAGAGGCCUCACGAUCCCAUGUUCCCACCACCCCGCCUCUACAGAGAGCACCUCCUGCUCAGGGGGCUGCUAUUUCUCUCCCCACAGGAUGCACGCGGGCAAGGAAUGCAAAAACGCUCCAGGGAGGGGAGGACUCGCUAAUACCAAGAUAAACGCAACUCCCACCCACCCGC
rnacentral:lncRNA from 1 species